AUUAGAUUUCCAACAGCCAGCUCCACGCCGAGCUCCGUCUGAUCUUGGAAGCUAAGUCAGGUCAGAUCUGGUUAGUGCUUGGAUGGAAGGCCACCUGGGAAGACCAAAAACACCUUAAA
ensembl:rRNA 5S_rRNA 5S ribosomal RNA